rnacentral:lncRNA from 1 species
AUGGACCAUGUCUUAUACAUAAUAAAGAUAUAAUUAUAAAUUGCCUUACACGCUUAUUGCUAAUAAUUGUGUAUUAUAUAGUGCUGCAACCGUGCAACAAACAUAUUAUAUAAUCUGUUUUCCAGCAAAAUUAUGAAGUAUCAAUAUCAAAAUCUUGAUGUCGUAUGCUGUGAUCGAAUAAAUAUAUUUAUCUGCACCAAGAUGUAAGUAAUUUGAUGGGCAACUCAAGUAAAACUAAACGUUGUUUUCAAUAAUAUUAAUCAUACAAUAUUUCCAAAAUUUAUAGAUUUGAUAUAAAUCUCUCGAAAGGGAAUAAAAUGAAGUGAUAUCUAUAUGUACAAACUAAGUCAGCUUAUUAAAUCUAAAAUUUACAAAUACAAUGAAUUGCUUCAAGAGUGAUUCUACAAAAUUCCAUCAGUUUUAUUUAACGGUCACAAAAAGUAAAGUUAAUUACUAUACAUUCAUUACAUUUACAUCUCUUUGAUAUAACGUUUUUAACUUCUUCUUUUUUUUAAAGGCAUUCAAUUUAAAGACAUAAAAGCAUUCACGGUAUAGUUUUGCAACCAUAAUAAUUCAGAAAGCAUGAUGAGACAAUCUUUAUAUUCAUCUAAGCAUUAACUCUCUUUUUUUUUUACAACAACAAGAGAUUUUUUCCGCGCUUCGCGCGGAUUGUGUCUUAUAAAUUUAUUUUAUUUAUAAUAUUAUUUGUCGGUUUGUUUCUUUUAUAUUAAUUUUUUAUUUUUCCAAUGUUAGUUUUUCUUAAUUUAAAUUUAUAUGUUUAUAGUUUUUCUUUUUUCUGGUUGUAGAUGGAGAAUUAUAUUUUUUAUUGAUGGUUUUUGUAUGUGACAUAAACUUUUUGAAAUUUUAAAAUAAUGUUAUAUAUAGUACAAUUAACACA